AAACAGAUAGGUUUGGUCCUGGCCUUUCUAUUGGCCCUUAGCAAGAUUACACAUGCAAGCAUCCCCGCACCGGUGAAGACGCCCUAUAAAUCACCAUGAUAAAGAGGAGCAAGUAUCAAGCACGCACACGCAGCUCAAAACACUUUGCCUAGCCACACCCCCACGGGAGACAGCAGUGACGAAUCUUUAGCAAUAAACGAAAGUUUAACUAAGCUAUGCUAUAUUAAGGGUUGGUCAAUUUCGUGCCAGCUACCGCGGUCAUACGAUUAACCCUAGCCAAUAGAGACCGGCGUAGAGGGUGUUUAAGAUCUGAUACAAUAAAGCUAAACUCCAUCUAAACUGUAAAACCCUAGCUGAUGUAAAAUAAACUACGAAAGUGGCUUUAAGACUUCUGAACACACAAUAGCUAAGGCCCAAACUGGGAUUAGACACCCUACUAUGCUUAGCCCUAAAACUCAAUAGUUAAAUAACAAAACUACUCGCCAGAAUACUACAAGCAACAGCUUAAAACUCAAAGGACUUGACGGUGCUUUACAUCCCCCUAGAGGAGCCUGUUCCGUAAUCGAUAAACCCCGAU
rnacentral:ncRNA from 1 species